rnacentral:rRNA from 1 species
AGUGAACGCUGGCGGUAGGCCUAACACAUGCAAGUCGAACGGCAGCACAGUAAGAGCUUGCUCUUACGGGUGGCGAGUGGCGGACGGGUGAGGAAUACAUCGGAAUCUACUUUUUCGUGGGGGAUAACGUAGGGAAACUUACGCUAAUACCGCAUACGACCUACGGGUGAAAGCAAGGGAUCUUCGGACCUUGCGCGAUUGAAUGAGCCGAUGUCGGAUUAGCUAGUUGGCGGGGUAAAGGCCCACCAAGGCGACGAUCCGUAGCUGGUCUGAGAGGAUGAUCAGCCACACUGGAACUGAGACACGGUCCAGACUCCUACGGGAGGCAGCAGUGGGGAAUAUUGGACAAUGGGCGCAAGCCUGAUCCAGCCAUACCGCGUGGGUGAAGAAGGCCUUCGGGUUGUAAAGCCCUUUUGUUGGGAAAGAAAAGCAGCAGGUUAAUACCCCGCUGUUCUGACGGUACCCAAAGAAUAAGCACCGGCUAACUCCGUG